rnacentral:rRNA from 1 species
GAUGAACGCUGGCGGCGUGCCUAAUGCAUGCAAGUCGAGCGAACGGACGAGAAGCUUGCUUCUCUGAUGUUAGCGGCGGACGGGUGAGUAACACGUGGAUAACCUACCUAUAAGACUGGGAUAACUUCGGGAAACCGUAGCUAAUACCGGAUAAUAUUUUGAACCGCAUGGUUCAAAAGUGAAAGACGGUCUUGCUGUCACUUAUAGAUGGAUCCGCGCUGCAUUAGCUAGUUGGUAAGGUAACGGCUUACCAAGGCAACGAUGCAUAGCCGACCUGAGAGAGUGAUCGGCCACACUGGAACUGAGACACGGUCCAGACUCCUACGGGAGGCAGCAGUAGGGAAUCUUCCGCAAUGGGCGAAAGCCUGACGGAGCAACGCCGCGUGAGUGAUGAAGGUCUUCGGAUCGUAAAACUCUGUUAUUAGGGAAGAACAUAUGUGUAAGUAACUGUGCACAUCUUGACGGUACCUAAUCAGAAAGCCACGGCUAACUACGUG